rnacentral:misc_RNA from 1 species
AAUAGAUUGAAUUAAUAAUUUGGUGAAUUUAUUAUUAUUUUGCAAGCGUAAUAGUUCAGAAUGAAAAUAUUUUAUACAAUAUAUUUUAUGCACAAUAAAUAUGUAUAGUGCAUGAAUAUAAAUAAUUAAUAAAUUAUUUUAUAAUUCUGUUUGGCCCGUCCAAAUAUUAUAGUCAAGCUCCACCACUGUAUUUUUGUGUAGCAUUGGCUUGCACUUCAGGGUUUUCUCCAUGUUGAAAGUUACUUCAUAUUGCUUUUAUUUAUUUAUUUAUCUAUUUAUUCUUCCUUUCAUUUUGGUAGUAGUCCUUUUAGUUUGCUUGUUGCUUUAUUGAAGUUGUGAAGUGAAAGUUCAUUUUGGUUUCUUACUGAUUCCUUGUUGCUGUGGUAAGGGAUGCAACUUCAUCCUUAACCAUGUUGAAAUUUAUCCAAUGCAAAAGGCUUCUUUUCUGGAUUAGAAGAUCAUAAGACUUAUACCUGCAUUGUGUCAUGUGCUGCUGUUGGCAUUAAGAGAAUUCUUCACACGCCUACACCCUCUUUGUUUUUGCACUUUAUUUUUUGGUUGUAGGAACUAGCAAAGCAUAUUUUGUUUAGUAAUAAGUACUCUUAUAGAGGAAGUUUUGGCGCAGAAGUCAGAAUGGAAAUAUGGGCCUUGUGUAUAUGGCCAUUUGAACUUAUAUAGAAGCAAAUGGGACCAUUGUCAUUGUUGGCACUAUCAAAAGUUACCUGCCUAAGUUAAAACUUAGCUAGAAAUAAAUUAACUUAUAACUUGGGUAUUGGACAAUUGAAAACGUGUUUCAUUUGUUUAUUGGUUUUUUAGUAUACUAUGCUGUAUGCUUUAAUUUAUCUGGGGAUUUCAUUUUCCUUAUCAUAAAGUGAGCUUUUCUUUUGUUCUUGAUAAAUUUUCCUGUCUGUGAAUCUUGGAAACUCUGGAGUCCAAGUACUGAAUUUGAACAAUUUUGUAAUUUUCUAUACAGUGAAGAGGCAAAUUCACUAAAAGCACAAUGUCAGAUCUUGAGG